ACCACUGUACUAGCCUGGGUUUCCUCAGAUGAUAAGUGCUCUGAGAGAGCAGGCCCAUGCAGAGGCCCAGGACAGGAGUCUUGUUAGAACAAAGUUAUUAACUCAAGUAAAAAAGCAGCCAGUCCAGUUAACAUAAGAUGGCAGGGGCCCCCAGACAGCUUCGAUCUUUGAGACCCAGUGCAAGCGGGCCCAGCUGCACCCACCCCUUCUUGCACAGGCCUGUGAGAAAUAGAAAACAAUAUACAUCAAUCACACACUGGGGAGCAGACGGUCCUGUUUGAUAGGCUUGCCUACUUAUUUCUUUACCUAAGAUAAUAUCUACAGCAUCCAUGUGUCUGACAGAAAUGGCUUGAAGCUAUGAUGCAGUUGAUCAAAAAGAAAAUAAAAGUGAAAUGCAUGUCUCUACUUCCCCACAACCCAAACUUUUGCUGAGGUUAAGUGGAAACAGUGAGACGGGGUCAUUCAAUCAAUCCACCAGUCAAUCACACUGUGGGAUAUACUGCAGAGAGCAGCUUCCUCGGGACGUGAUGGAUGCAAUAUAUACCUGACUCAGCAGCUACCAAGAUUGCAGCAGAUCACUGUAAUUUGAAACUAUGUGCACACAAUUCAUGCGUCGGUUUAAAGGAAAAGAACAACACAUCUGCUGCUGAACCAGAUCUUGGGAUGGAAAUGAACACAAUCAAGGUCAGAACCUCUAACAGCAGUCAGACAUCUUGACACAAACAACAACCAGCGGUUCUUCUGUCCCAUGCAGCCUCAGGAAGGAGACCAUGAUGUGCAUAAUAUUUCUGUCUUACGUUUGGGCAAAGGGUAAUAAAUUUUGAUGUAGCUCAGCUUACGGGAAGUCUGUCAUCAGAGUCAGGACGACACAGCAAAGAUUUAACAGAGCACUAACCUUUAUUUCAGUUAUGAGGCAGCCAAGCUAUGUUGACUAAGAGAAUGAACCUGGCACACCCAGAGAGUCAGAGACAUGCAUCUUGGAUGCAAGUUCUGGAAGACCUAAUUCCUGCUUUGCAAGCCUUUUUUUCACCUGGCCUGGAAGAGCAG